GAAAUGCGAUAAGUAAUGUGAAUUGCAGAAUUCAGUGAAUCAUCGAAUCUUUGAACGCACAUUGCGCCCGCCAGCACUCUGGCGGGCAUGCCUGUCCGAGCGUCAUUUCAACCCUCAGGGCCCCUUCCGGGGGACCUGGCGUUGGGGAUCGGCCGCCCACCCGCGGCGGCCGGCCCCGAAAUGCAGUGGCGGUCUCGUCGCGACCUUCUGCGUAGUAGCGAUACCUCGCAGCUGGGGAGCGGCGCGGCCACGCCGUAAAACACCCAACUCUCCAAAGGUUGACCUCGGAUCAGGUAGGAAUACCCGCUGAACUUAA
rnacentral:misc_RNA from 1 species